rfam:Puccinia graminis f. sp. tritici CRL 75-36-700-3 supercont2.32 genomic scaffold, whole genome shotgun sequence.
GCCUUCGUGGCUCAGCUGGUUAGAGCGCCGGUCUCAUAUUCAUCCUUCCGGGAAUAAUAAUAUGAUCACUCCGUAAGAGUGAGUCAUCCGGAGAUCGCCAGUUCGAUCCUGGCCGAGGGCA